AUGGGGUAGUACAGUGGAUUUCUAACCCAUAAAAAAGUAAAAGCUUAUACCUCAUA
rnacentral:tRNA from 1 species